AUUGAACGCUGGCGGCAGGCCUAACACAUGCAAGUCGAACGAGUGGCGGACGGGGGAGUAAUGUCUGGGAAACUGCCUGAUGGAGGGGGAUAACUACUGGAAACGGUAGCUAAUACCGCAUACCAACGGAUGUGCCCAGAUGGGAUUAGCGGGUAGGUGGGGUAAAGGCUCACCUAGGCGACGAUCCCUAGCUGGUCUGAGAGGAGGACCGGCCACACUGGACCUGAGACACGGUCCAGACUCCUACGGGAGGCAUCAGUGGGGAAGAUUGCACAAUGGUCGCAAGCCUGAUGCAGCCAUGCCGCGUGUAUGAAUAAGGCCUUCUGGUUGUAAAGUACUUUCAGCGGGGAGGCGUUACCCACAGAAGAAGCACCGGCUAACUCCGUGCCAGCAGCCGCGGUAAUAC
rnacentral:rRNA from 1 species